rnacentral:rRNA from 1 species
AUUGAACGCUGGCGGCAUGCCUUACACAUGCAAGUCGAACGGUAACAGGUCUUUCGGGAUGCUGACGAGUGGCGAACGGGUGAGUAAUACAUCGGAACGUGCCUAGUAGUGGGGGAUAACUACUCGAAAGAGUGGCUAAUACCGCAUGAGAUCUAUGGAUGAAAGCAGGGGACCUUUGGGCCUUGUGCUACUAGAGCGGCCGGUGGCAGAUUAGGUAGUUGGUGGGAUAAAAGCUUACCAAGCCUGCGAUCUGUAGCUGGUCUGAGAGGACGGUCUGCCACACUGGGACUAGGACACGGCCCAGAGUCCUACGGGAUGCAGCAGUGGUGAAUUUUGGACAAUGGGCGCAAGCCUGAUCCAGCAAUGGCGCGUGCAGGAUGAAGGCCUUCGGGUUGUAAACUGCUUUUGUACGGAACGAAAAGUCUUGGUUUAAUACCCUGGGAUCAUGACGGUACCGUAAGAAUAAGCACCGGCUAACUACGUGCCAGCCGCCGCAGUAACAC